UACAGAGGUCCCGAGCGUUGUUCGGAUUCACUGGGCGUAAAGGGUGCGUAGGUGGCUUGAAAAGUUUGAUGUGAAAGCUCGGGGCUUAACCCUGAAAUGGCAUUGAAUACUGUCGAGCUGGAGGUUUGGAGGGGGGACUGGAAUUCUUGGUGUAGCAGUGAAAUGCGUAGAUAUCAAGAGGAACACCAGUGGCGAAGGCGAGUCCCUGGACAACACCUGACACUGAGGCACGAAAGCUAGGGGAGCAAACAGG
rnacentral:rRNA from 1 species